rnacentral:rRNA from 1 species
UCUCAAGGUUGACCUCGGAUCAGGUAGGAAUACCCGCUGAACUUAAGCAUAUCAAUAAGCGGAGGAAAAGAAACCAACAGGGAUUGCCCCAGUAACGGCGAGUGAAGCGGCAACAGCUCAAAUUUGAAAUCUGGCGCAAGCCCGAGUUGUAAUUUGCAGAGGAUGCUUUUGGUGCGGUGCCUUCUGAGUUCCCUGGAACGGGACGCCGGAGAGGGUGAGAGCCCCGUACAGUUGGACACCAAGCCUUUGUAAAGCUCCUUCGACGAGUCGAGUAGUUUGGGAAUGCUGCUCAAAAUGGGAGGUAAAUGCCUUCUAAAGCUAAAUACCGGCCAGAGACCGAUAGCGCACAAGUAGAGUGAUCGAAAGAUGAAAAGCACUUUGAAAAGAGGGUUAAACAGUACGUGAAAUUGUUGAAAGGGAAGCGCUCGUGACCAGACUUGCGCCCGGCGGAUCAUCCGGCCUUCUGGCCGGUGCACUCCGCCGGGCUCAGGCCAGCAUCGGUUCUUCCGGGGGGACAAAAGCGGUGGGAACGUAGCUCUUCCGGGAGUGUUAUAGCCCGCCGCAGCAUACCCCCGGGGGGACCGAGGACCGCGCUUCGGCAAGGAUGCUGGCGUAAUGGUCACCAGCGACCCGUCUUGAAACACGGACCAAGGAGUCAAGCAUUAGGGCGAGUGUUUGGGUGUCAAACCCGCACGCGAAAUGAAAGUGAACGCAGGUGAGAGCUUCGGCGCAUCAUCGACCGAUCCUGAUGUUUUCGGAUGGAUUUGAGUAAGAGCCUUGCCGCUUGGACCCGAAAGAUGGUGAACUAUGCUUGGAUAGGGUGAAGCCAGAGGAAACUCUGGUGGAGGCUCGCAGCGGUUCUGACGUGCAAAUCGAUCGUCAAAUCUGAGCAUGGGGGCGAAAGACUAAUCGAACCAU